GUUACUUAUUUAGCCCCUUUCCCUGAAGAACCCUCGAAUCUAUCACACUCUAUACGCAUAAAGAGAGACGAUUCGAAGAUCAAUUAAAUUGGGUCUGGUUGGUAGAAAGAAUGUCAAUUCGCUUCAAAUUCAGGAGUUGUACAAAAUUUGAUUCUGUUGAUAUAGACGGCCGGCCCUCUAUCUCUUUGCGGGAACUGAGGUGGAAGAUCGCCCGCCAAAAGAAACUCAACAUUGGUCAGGACUUGGAUAUCAUUUUCUUCGAUGCCCUCUCCGAACAAGAGUAUAAAGAUGAAAAUUUUCAGAUUGCUAGUGGGUCUAGUGUAAUUGUCAAGAGAGUUCCUGCUGGAAUGAUUCCUUCAACUGUUAAUAACAGGCCACCUAUUGGUACCAUGAAGGAUUUAGGGUUGAAAGAUGUUGAUCGUAUUAAUCAUGUGGAUGGGCAAGUCAAUGAGUUUCAUGACUUUGGGGCUGACAUUUGUCCGGCGGCUGAGGGAAUAUUUCCCAACAUUGAUGUAGGAUUUGGUCAUAAGAACUGCUGGGACUUUGAGAAAGAGAACCUCGCAGGUCCAAGGUUUCAGUAUCAAAAGCUUGAUUCCAGAGGCUUGAAUCAGGCUAUCCAUAGAGGUUCUAAUCAUAGCAAGAUCUCAACAAAGUUACCUGGACCAAAAACUCCUGAUGCACCGACACUGCACAAGGUGAUACGCUCCAAUUUUCCAGCUGUUCCCAAUAAUGUUUUGCCGGUUGAACUGAAAUGCUCUCUCUGCAAUACCUUCUUUAAGGAUGCUGUGAUGAUACCUUGCUGCCAGCACAGUUUUUGUGAGAAAUGCAUUCGUCUGGCUCUUCUAGAAAAGGUGAAGUGCCCAAAAUGCCCUUCUAGCAGAUAUAAAGUGGAAGAUCUGCUACCAAAUUUAUCUCUCAGGCAAGCAAUUGAGCAUUUUCUUGAAUCCCAGAUGGUUGCUGCUGAGUCAGAAAAUGCUUUACGCAGAUAUGUUCCAGAUGGUGAAUCUGGCAUUCAGGUGAAGGAUAUUUCUUGUGCUGUAACUGUUGUGCAACGAGAACCGGAGAUGCCUCAGUCACCCUCAGCUACUGGAAAAGGAUCUAAUCAAGUUAUGGCAGAAUCAUUUUAUGACUCACUUGUUAGGAAAAAAUCAUUGUCUAGGACAAUGCAACAAAUAGAUGGAGGAAGAGGUCGAUAUGCUAAUCCUUGGAAUUUUCCAAGUGUACCUGAUGACCCAGAAGAUUGUCAAGGUGAAAGCAAGCCUCUUAAUUUGCUUCAUUCCCAUGCUCAAGAGAAAGUCAAUUCUUCCAUCAAGAAGAAUAAAGGCCCAUGGUGUGACACAAGAGGUGGGAACAUGAAUUUUCUGCCUACUAGUAGAGUUAAAAAGGACCGUAAUUGUUACGUGUGUGGUUCUCCUGACCAUCUCAUCAGAGACUGUCCUCUUGCUUCCAAUCCAAAUCCAAUGCUUCAAACAGGAAACCUCAUGCUUACGGGAGGAUUUCCAACCUAUCCAUCACCUUACUGGAAUAACAAUACCUAUUCCACAUUAAGGCCAUUGGAAGAUAUGUAUGGUAAUGCUGGAAAUGCUCCAUUUAAUGCUUCUAUGGUUUCUCCAACACCUUACAUUCAUCCUUAUAUGCAAUCUAUGCAUGCUGGCAUGCCUUUACGUGGAGAAAUCAUGAGAAUGGGUGGUAUGGCACUUCCAGCUGGAAACAGAGAUGAUCUACCAUUGAACCAAUAUGAGUACAUGGGCCUCCAGCUUGCUGAAGAUAAAAGGAGAAUUCAGAAUGAAAAAAUAGGAAGAGGGCAAUAUUGUCACGCUGAGUCUAACUUUAAGGAGCUUUUCCCAAAUACUGAUCGAGAAGUGACAGGAAAGUUCCACAAGGAGAGGGAACCAUGUACAAGUUGUUCUGAUGAUAGCUUUGCUCGCAAAACACACAGAAAGCACCUCCAUGUUGAGAAAAGAAGGGAGAAAAGUCGUCAUUCCUCAUCUGCUAGCAGAGACAAAGUGACUCGUCACUCUGACAGGUCUAAUGAUGGUUUUCCUAGUAGUUCUGAUAGGCGUAGGAGAGAAAGUCAUCAACACCAUAGUCGGGACUCUAGAAAGCGCCAUGAAUGUGAUUUCACUUUGGAUCACUAUCAAGUCUCUGAUCGUAAACGUGGAGUCAAUUGUCAUGAAAGAGACUCUCAUCAUAAACAUCUCUCAAGUUCUGCACUAGAACCUACUUCACCUUUGCAUCAGACGGCACGAUCCAAAGAGAGGAGGGGUUUUGGGCAUGACACAAAGUACUGCAGGCACCAUGCAAGACACCCCACCGAUGAGGUAUGUGACAACAAGAAACGGACGAGUAGCGGCUCUUAUGAAGAUAGCAGAGACGGUUAUCAUCACAAGCGAAAAAGAGUUCAUUGAGAGUAAUGAAGGUGAACUUGUAAAUGAAGUUGCGCAUACAUCAAUUGUGAGGUCUGGAUGCCAGACAAAGGUUUUAACCAGAAGCCAUCUGGUUACAAGUAGUAUUUUGGAUCAUUUUAUAUGCUGCCCAACAAUCGUUUUGGACAAAGGUAUGGAAGCUGAUGUUGAGGUUAUCUGAUAUUCUAGCAGGGGAUAUUGCCGAUUUAUUAUUUGAGAGUUGUCCCAAUCAGUAUCAUAUUGUAGCAAUGGAGUACUUUUUGGAAAAAUUGGUUUGGUUUGGUAUCCUAUACUACCACGCUGGGCUGUGCGGGGUUUAAAUUGAAUAGGUAAUCUUUUAGAUUAAGCAGUUUUAAAACGUUGUAUGUUGACAAGGAGUCUUAAAUUUUAUUUGAAAUAGAACUCUAUCGUAUAGUACGCUAUGAAAUAUUUCUAAAAAGUCGUUUUCUAAUAGUACAUCUUGUCUUGUAUUAUAAAAAUAAAAUGAGGGAUAUUUUAUUAAAAAAUAUUCUAAUAGUAUAAUCGGCUGAGCAAUGCCUCUAGACAUUGUUACAAUAUUAUUUGAUAUAUCUCUUCUUUUGAUAAUAGGUAAUUCUUGAUGGUACUCUUUGGGAAAUAUUUCUGAUCUACAACAACAUUUUUUCGGUCCAUUAUUUAUAUAAGCAGCAAAAUAUUCUGCUUUAUAAUCUUUAUACG